UUCGGCCUACGGGGCGCAGCAGUUAGGAAUAUUCGUCAAUGGGGGAAACCCUGAACGAGCAAUGCCGCGUGAGUGAUGAAGGUCCUUUGGAUUGUAAAACUCUGUUGUAUGGGAAGAACGACCAGACUAGGAAAUGAGUUUGGAGUGACGGUACCAUGCCAGAAAGCUCCGGCUAACUACGUGCCAGCAGCCGCGGUAAUACGGAGGAUGCGAGCGUUAUCCGGAUUUAUUGGGUUUAAAGGGUGCGCAGGCGGCGAGUUAAGUCAGCGGUAAAAUUUCGGGGCUCAACCCCGACGAGCCGUUGA
rnacentral:rRNA from 1 species